AGAGUUUGAUCCUGGCUCAGGAUAAACGCUGGCGGCGUGCCUAACACAUGCAAGUCGAACGUCCUUUGCUCUUUCGGGAGCAGAGGGAGUGGCGGACGGGUGAGUAACACGUGGGAACCUAGCCUGAGGUGAGGAAUACCGGCGAGAAAUCGACGACAAGACCGCAUAGGCUGCGCUCUUCGGGGGGCAGCAAAGCUUCG
rnacentral:rRNA from 1 species